rnacentral:rRNA from 1 species
GUGGGGAAUUUUGGACAAUGGGCGAAAGCCUGAUCCAGCCAUGCCGCGUGCAGGAUGAAGGCCUUCGGGUUGUAAACUGCUUUUGUACGGAACGAAAAGACUCUGGUUAAUACCUGGGGUCCAUGACGGUACCGUAAGAAUAAGCACCGGCUAACUACGUGCCAGCAGCCGCGGUAAUACGUAGGGUGCAAGCGUUAAUCGGAAUUACUGGGCGUAAAGCGUGCGCAGGCGGUUAUAUAAGACAGAUGUGAAAUCCCCGGGAUCAACCUGGGAACUGCAUUUGUGACUGUAUAGCUAGAGUACGGCAGAGGGGGAUGGAAUUCCGCGUGUAGCAGUGAAAUGCGUAGAUAUGCGGAGGAACACCGAUGGCGAAGGCAAUCCCCUGGGCCUGUACUGACGCUCAUGCACGAAAGCGUGGGGAGCAAACAGGAUUAGAAACCCGUGUAGUCC